UACGGAGGGUGCAAACGUUGCUCGGAAUCAUUGGGCGUAAAGCGCACGUAGGUGGCCUGUUAAGUCGGGUGUGAAAGCCCUGGGCUCAACCCAGGAAGUGCACUCGAAACUGGCAGGCUUGAGUACUGAAGAGGGUCGCGGAAUUCCGGGUGUAGCGGUGGAAUGCGUAGAGAUCCGGAAGAACACCAGUGGCGAAGGCGGCUCACUGGUCCGGUACUGACGCUGAGGUGCGAAAGCGUGGGGAGCAAACAGG
rnacentral:rRNA from 1 species